rnacentral:lncRNA from 1 species
CUGUCAUGGCAGUAGGUCAGCCUUUCUUUCAGCCUGGGAGACCUCUUAGCUCUCCUGAGUUGUCACCAUAAUCAUUUUGGCCUGGGGAACAGCUGCCUGCAGAGCAGCAGUAUCUGAAGCCAGUGCAAAAACUGCUCACCACCUUUUCUGCUUAGCUCUUGGCCAGAGAGGUGCUUUCCCCAAGAUAUUCAGCGUUGAUUAACGUUUCUCCUGUGCCACCAGUAAUGGGAGCAUGUGUGAAAUCACAGCGCAGGGUUGUCUGUUGCCCUCCGCCGCAAAGGCGGCAUAACGGAGUAGCUGGUGAGCAGGGGUGCAGUGCAGGCCUGUGAACAGGGAGACGGUGGGGUGGACACUGCCUGCUCCAGGAGCUGCUUGAGAGGUGUCCUGGCAGGAGAGCCUGCCCCGAGCUCCCAUGUUCUUCUUUUCCCCCUCUGCUGCUGCAGUAUAACCGGCAGCUGUAGGCCUGGCUCUUCAUGGGUCGCUGUAGGCUCUGCGCGCAGUAAACGGUGCAGCUCAGCUCGCUGCUCUGGCAGCCGGGAACAUGCCAUUCCUCCCACCGUAUGACUCGGGAACAGCUCAGCUCUUACGAAAGCUGUCCUCGCUCCGCCUGCCAGCGCGGCCCUCUGCCACGGGCUGUUGCAGGGAACGCCGCGACGGCUCUGGGCAUGGGCUGAUCUCCUCCCUGCAGAUGACUGGGAGCCAGGCCACCCUGACACUACCUGCACAGGAGAGGGUGCUGGAAAUCCUGGGAGAUUAGUGCACGCUCGUUUGGCUCUGCAGUAGACUCUGGCAGCUCUCCUCCUCCCAGCCACGAAAGCAGCAGGGAGGUAUUCCCGAGGCCGGACAGAUGACGGGUGUGGAGGGCAGGGGCCUGGGUGUCCAGGUUGCUGGACUCGUGGCACAGCACGCGGCCCUCGGCCUUCCUCGAGCGAUAUGGCGGCUGCGCUGCUGCUGAGCUCUCCCCAGCACGUCCCGAUGCUGCGUCCCCUGUGCGUGCGAGUAGCUCCAUGGGCUGCCUGGGCAGGGGCCUCCCGAUGGUCUGAAGGGACCAGCUCCUACGUUUCACAAGCGAAGUCUCGUUAUAAGGCCACGGCGUCCUGUUGCUCGCUUCUAGCUGCUGCUCCCUCCGCAGGGCGAGGAUGCUGGGGCGUGCAGCCUGCCGGGGGAGCCAGCCCG